UACGUAGGGUGCGAGCGUUGUCCGGAUUUAUUGGGCGUAAAGAGCUCGUAGGCGGUUUGUCGCGUCGGCCGUGAAAUCUCCACGCUUAACGUGGAGCGUGCGGUCGAUACGGGCAGACUUGAGUUCGGUAGGGGAGACUGGAAUUCCCGGUGUAGUGGUGAAAUGCGUAGAGAUCGGGAGGAACACCCGUGGCGAAGGCGGCCACCUGGGCCGACCCUGACGCUGAGGCGCGAAGGCGUGGGGAGCGAACGGG
rnacentral:rRNA from 1 species